rfam:Hordeum vulgare subsp. vulgare, WGS project CAJW01000000 data, contig: morex_contig_171819
UAUAUACUCCCUCAGUCCGGAAAUAGUUGUCCUGAAAAUACAUGUAUCUAAAUUUAUUUUAGUUAUAGAUACAUCCAUUUUAUUCAUUUUUAAGACAAGUAUUUCCGGACCGAGUGGGUACUAA